AGAGAAACGAAAAACACCCAAAAUUUCUCAUCCACUUCGUACGACACCAUCGGAGACUCGCCUUCCCGAUGACGUCGUAACCACCCGGCGUGAGCCCACCAUUUACAGAUGUGUGCCAACAUUUUUCCCAACAAUAAAGCCAAUUUACCAUUCAAAGGUAGCAAGUGCGGUUGAGUGUCGAGACCACACUGUAGAAAUUUGGGUUGAGCUCAGGCGUGAACCACAACAUUUUACAGAUGAACCCAACAUUUUUUGGAAAUUACCAUUUCACCAACCCAGCAGUUUCCCAAAGUUGGAGAAAAUUGUCGCCGUGGCCGCCUUGUAUGAACUCCUAAGGGCGGACCUCGAACCCCCUCGCUACAGUUGAAGGUGGGAAUUUAUUUAUUUAUUUAUUUAUUUUUUUGAUGUAUGAUCUAACUAUUUUCUUUCAUAAAUUUCAAAAAAUCAAUGCCUGCAUUUCUUAUAUUUAUGAAGUUGAGUGGUUAAUUUUAUGACAUAUGUGAAGUUCAUUGAAGACUAGAUAAAUUUGAUUCAAUGUAAAAUUGUGGAGAGGUAAUGGUUUUCUGAACGAGACAACCAUUAUUGAAGCAGUGGAAGAUGAUUCAAGAGUGGAAGACUAGAUAUGCUUACGAUGUUGGUUUCCCAGUCAAGAAAAGGAAUUAGAAAAAAGAUACAUUGAUAUGUAAUCUUGAAGGAUGAUGCAGCACGACAAAGCGGUUCUUUGAAGCCACAUCCAACAAUUCGGAUGGAUUGUAAAGCCUAGAUCUCAGCGUCUUUUGAUUAUCUAUAUUUAGUUGUUGCACUUACAGCAUGUAUGUUAAUGGAAUUCUGUUCACACCAUGCUAAUGGAAUUUUAUUGGCAUACCUUGUUGGUGAAAUUGAUUAAUG
rnacentral:lncRNA from 1 species